rnacentral:misc_RNA from 1 species
GCUUGCCCUCAGGAGAACAUAGUAGAUACCAAGGCAUCAGAAUAGGCAAGCAGAAUAUCUAAAACCAUUAAGUUCAGCCAUAUGGUUUAUAUGAUUAAUUUAAACUAGUCCCUUGAUUAUGAAAGUUUUUCUUCUGAGUUCUUUAGACGUAUAGACAAGUAAACAUCAUGCACAAUUCACAAUAAAAUUGAUACUUGCCAGAAGGUGCUUGUAA